GGUAGUCCACGCCGUAAACGAUGUCGACUUGGAGGUUGUGCCCUUGAGGCGUGGCUUCCGGAGCUAACGCGUUAAGUCGACCGCCUGGGGAGUACGGCCGCAAGGUUAAAACUCAAAUGAAUUGACGGGGGCCCGCACAAGCGGUGGAGCAUGUGGUUUAAUUCGAUGCAACGCGAAGAACCUUACCUACUCUUGAUAUCCAGAGAACUUAGCAGAGAUGCUUUGGUGCCUUCGGGAACUCUGAGACAGGUGCUGCAUGGCUGUCGUCAGCUCGUGUUGUGAAAUGUUGGGUUAAGUCCCGCAACGAGCGCAACCCUUAUCCUUUGUUGCCAGCGGUUAGGCCGGGAACUCAAAGGAGACUGCCAGUGAUAAACUGGAGGAAGGUGGGGAUGACGUCAAGUCAUCAUGGCCCUUACGAGUAGGGCUACACACGUGCUACAAUGGCGCAUACAAAGAGAAACGACCUCGCGAGAGCAAGCGGACCUCAUAAAGUGCGUCGUAGUCCGGAUUGGAGUCUGCAACUCGACUCCAUGAAGUCGGAAUCGCUAGUAAUCGUAGAUCAGAAUGCUACGGUGAAUACGUUCCCGGGCCUUGUACACACCGCCCGUCACACCAUGGGAGUGGGUUGCAAAAGAAGUAGGUAGCUUAACCUUCGGGAGGGCGCUUACCACUUUGUGAUUCAUGACUGGGGUGAAGUCGUAACAAGGUAACCGUAGGGGAACCUGC
rnacentral:rRNA from 1 species